UUUCUUCUUCCUUUCACCAUAUCCAAAAUCUCUCCACCACCACCCACAAUAAUUUGAAAUUUAUCAAUUAGAAGACUUAUUUACAUGCAAAUUAGAAAAAUUUUCCUUAGAUUCAUCACCCUUUUCGCCUUCUUCCCAAAUAGUUCUUCAAACACUAGUUUUUUUCCUUUUUUUUUAUUGAAAAAAAAUUUGGAACCCCACGAAUCAGGAAUGGCUUAUACACUAGUUUCCACCAUGGCUAGAGCACUAUGGCUAGUUUUUUAUCCAGAAACUUGUAGAAAAGCUCAAUUUACAAUCAAAGAAGAAAAAAUAUAUUUUUGCCUCCACCACCAUCGCCAAAUUAUGAAUUAUGAAUUUUAUCUCACCAAUCGCCACCACCCUAUU
rnacentral:lncRNA from 1 species